GUGCAGUUGGUUCGAAAGUCUGCGAGGGUAGAUUUUUUUAAGAUCCAGAAAUGGCUGACGACUUUGAUUUCGGUGACAAGGUCCCUCCAUCGUUCGAUCGCAUGGGAAAUGCAAUGAAGGAUGCAGAAACAAAAGGAUUCAACCCAGGUCUACUAGUUCUGCUUCUUGUUGUGGGCAUUUUAUCGGUCUUCCUCAUUGGAAAUUAUGUCCUUUACACAUAUGCUCAGAAGACCCUUCCACCAAGGAAAAAGAAGCCUGUCUCCAAGAAGAAGAUUAAGAAGGAGAGGCUGAAGCAAGGUGUCUCAGCACCAGGAGAGUAGAUUGAAUUGUAGGCCUCACUUUGUUUCUGCUCUCUAUGUUAAGCUGUUACAUUAAGAUUUUCUCUUUCUUGAUGUCAGUUACCAAAGUUGAGACAAAAUGUCAGUUACCAAAGUUGAGACAAUUUUGAGUUCCAAAAGAUGACAGGCUUAGCUCAAAAUGUGAAAACUCUAAAACGUUUCAUGGUUAGUUUAAGGAACAAGAAUAUUUAAC